CAGCUACACAUGCAGUCGAGCGGUAACAGGGGUAGCUUGCUACCCGCUGACGAGCGGCGGACGGGUGAGUAAUGCAUGGGAAUCUGCCCGGUAGUGGGGGAUAACUCGGGGAAACCCGAGCUAAUACCGCAUACGUCCUACGGGAGAAAGCAGGGGAUCUUCGGACCUUGCGCUAUCGGAUGAGCCCAUGUCGGAUUAGCUUGUUGGUGAGGUAACGGCUCACCAAGGCGACGAUCCGUAGCUGGUCUGAGAGGAUGAUCAGCCACACCGGGACUGAGACACGGCCCGGACUCCUACGGGAGGCAGCAGUGGGGAAUAUUGGACAAUGGGGGGAACCCUGAUCCAGCCAUGCCGCGUGUGUGAAGAAGGCCUUCGGGUUGUAAAGCACUUUCAGUGGGGAAGAAGGCAUGAUGAUUAAUACUCGUCAUGAAGGACAUCACCCACAGAAGAAGCACCGGCUAACUCCGUGCCAGCAGCCGCGGUAAUACGGAGGGUGCAAGCGUUAAUCGGAAUUACUGGGCGUAAAGGGCGCGUAGGCGGCUUGCCAAGCCGGAUGUGAAAGCCCCGGGCUCAACCCGGGAACGGCAUUCGGAACUGGCAGGCUAGAGUGCAGGAGAGGAAGGUGGAAUUCCCGGUGUAGCGGUGAAAUGCGUAGAGAUCGGGAGGAAUACCAGUGGCGAAGGCGGCCUUCUGGACUGACACUGACGCUGAGGCGCGAAAGCGUGGGUAGCAAACAGGAUUAGAUACCCUGGUAGUCCACGCCGUAAACGAUGUCGACCAGCCGUUGGACCCCUUGAGGGUUUGGUGGCGCAGUUAACGCAAUAAGUCGACCGCCUGGGGAGUACGGCCGCAAGGCUAAAACUCAAAUGAAUUGACGGGGGCCCGCACAAGCGGUGGAGCAUGUGGUUUAAUUCGAUGCAACGCGAAGAACCUUACCUGCUCUUGACAUCCUGCGAAUCUCCCAGAGAUG
rnacentral:rRNA from 1 species